AUGCGGUCCGGGGCCGUCUCCAAGGGCAGCGGGGCUGGCGGGCGCUGCGCCCGGCGCCGCCUUACCUGGAGUCAAUGUCCGUCUUUGGCGGAGAGCUGCGGGAGGACGCUUUUUAUUCGGCUCGGUGGGAAGUUGGGAGAGCCCUGCGUCCAGCUCGCAUACCGGGAACGGCGCGGGGACUGCAGGCGUGGGGGUACCUGGCUCCUAGCAGCCUGGCUCAUACUCAGCCGUAAAGUCCCCUCCGCAGGUCCCGAGGACAGGCAUGAAUCCCGGCUCCGGAAGGCGGUCACUACUCCCUCAGCCUCCCGGCUCUCUCGCUCUCGCUUUGCUCUCUGGCUCGCUCGCCCGCUCCCUCGCUCCCUCGCUCGCUCGCUCGUUCGCCUGCGCUUUCCUCCUCCCCCCUCCCCGCGCCAGAUCAGUUCACAGCCGUGGGGACCGGGAGCGAGGCGGCCAGCGAAUGGAGAGGGAAGUCCAAGUGCGCCGCGGUCUCCGGGCGGGGAGCAGUGGAGGCCGGGCUACGCGGGAGGAGGGACUUACCCGGCGACGGGCGAAAAUGAAUGGGGGAGCGGCUGCCGGGGGCGGGGAGGGAGGAGCCUAGAGCCAGGGUUUAUUCUGAGGAGUGUUUUGUACAUCUUUAGGCGGAGGAGGAGAAGGGAGAGGAGGAGAGAAAAAAGGCCUUCUCCGAGGGAGGGGCGGCCUGGGUGGGCUGAGGCUGAGCCACUGGGGAGUCUAGUGGGUCUGGGGAUAGGGUGGCGUGUCUCCGUGUAUGAGCGCCCAAAGGGACUUUGUGAUGUGUGUGUGUGUGUGUGUGUGUGUGCGCGCAAACCCUGCGUCGUGGUGUUUCUAAGCGUGUCUGUAGCUGUGUGCGUCGCGAGUUAUAUGAGUUUUUCCGGGUAUGCGGGUGCUAGUGCGUCUGUGUGUAUCUAUUCGAGUGUGGUUUUGUCUGGGGAGGUGACUGUGUGGGUCCGUGUGUAUCCGUGUGCCUCUGUAUGCGUGUUUAAGACUGUUUGUUUCUCUGUAUGUGUAGGCAUGAGCCCCACGGAACCUCCCAGAAUUAAGCAAGUGCUUCUCGGAGCAAGAAGCUGA
rnacentral:lncRNA from 1 species